AGAAUAAUAAGUCUGUUGGAUGUGAAAGACCGUCACGGGUCGGAGCUUUGGGGUUCACCAGACCAGACCAGACCCAGACCCAGACCCAGACCACCCCGGGACGAGACGAGGUCUGGUAGCAGCAGGACAAUGAAUACUAGUGAAUAUAUGCAGCUGAAGCAGCAGCUACCAUUAGAUACACCAUUAGCUACUGUAGGUUAAUAUAGUUCCCUGGUAGUGCUGUUCACAGGGAGACGGAGGGUAACCGUUGUGCUGCUGCAGCGGACUAAACGAGGUUGUUUCAGCUCAAACAGUCCUGUUCCACCUUUGACAACCUUCCCCACCACCAGGCAGGCUGAGGGGGACACCAGCUGAUCGUGUGACCCUGAAAAAGGAGGAAAAAACAGCCGUGAACAAAAAACAAAGAGAUGAGGGCAGCAGUGGCUCGAAGGUUUAAGGAGAUGACUUGUGACAAUCCAAAAAUGGCUCCAACUUCCCUGAAGCACUGUCAUCAACCUUCACUGAAUACAUAAUGGUUAAAAGAAACCAGAUAC